rnacentral:tRNA from 1 species
UUCCCAAUGGUCUACUGUUUAAGACUCUGCUUUCCAGUGUUUAAGACUCUGCUUCCACUGCAGGGGAUGCAGGUUCGAUUCCUGGUUGGGGAA